rnacentral:rRNA from 1 species
AACGUAGGAGGCAAGCGUUAUCCGGAGUUACUGGGCGUAAAGAGUGCGUAGGCGGACCUGUAAGUGGGUGGUGAAAGCGCCCGGCUAAACCGGGCGAGGUUCAUUCAGACUGCAGGUCUAGAGGCGGAUAGAGGGGUGCGGAAUUCCGGGUGUAGCGGUGAAAUGUGUAGAGAUCCGGAGGAACACCAGUGGUGCAAACGGCGCCCUGGGUCCGAACUGACGCUGAUGCGCGAAAGCGUGGGGAGCAAACGGG